CUGAGAUCUAGACUCCAGAGGCAACUGGUCUCAGUGAACAACUCAGGUUUUGCUGGCUUCUGGAAAAUCCAGGGGAUUUUGAAAAAGAAUGUCUGUGGUGGCUUAUGGUUAAAGUGGAACUAUGCACAAUGAUCUUUUAUACCAAGAUGAUGCUGGUGUAACUACAACUGCGAAGAGUUUGGAGUGUACAUAGGGAAGAAUCUUAAAAGACCAUCCAGUUCAGCACCCACAUUUCAGAAGUGAGAACCUUAAAGUGACUCUAAUGCCUGUGGUAUGAAGUGAUUUGCUCCAGGUCACAUAUUUGGAUAGCAGCAUCAUUUGGUGUUCCAGCAUCCUUCCCCAAGAAAGUUGGAGGGAUAGUGGGGGUACUCUGUACCAAGCAAAUGUGUGAAUGAAGUCCUAGAUUGCUACAUGGGUUCCGACGGUGCAGAGAACAAAGUAUUAGUACGAUUAUGUUGUCAAACUCUUGGCGUCCAUUUCAGAUGCUUCACAUUGGUCCACGGCCACAAAGCUUAUUGUGACUGUGAAACAAUAGGAUUAGUUGUGAAAAUACUACUUCUUUAAAUAUUUGAAACUAGAAUGGAAAAAAAAAUGUUGAAAUAGA